rnacentral:rRNA from 2 species
AAUCCAUAGGUUAAUGAGGCGAACCGGGGGAACUGAAACAUCUAAGUACCCCGAGGAAAAGAAAUCAACCGAGAUUCCCCCAGUAGCGGCGAGCGAACGGGGAGGAGCCCAGAGCCUGAAUCAGCAUGUGUGUUAGUGGAAGCGUCUGGAAAGGCGCGCGAUACAGGGUGACAGCCCCGUACACAAAAGCGCAUGUGCUGUGAGCUCGAUGAGUAGGGCGGGACACGUGGUAUCCUGUCUGAAUAUGGGGGGACCAUCCUCCAAGGCUAAAUACUCCUGACUGACCGAUAGUGAACCAGUACCGUGAGGGAAAGGCGAAAAGAACCCCGGCGAGGGGAGUGAAAAAGAACCUGAAACCGUGUACGUACAAGCAGUGGGAGCCCCACCACCAAAGCAUUUGCUGUACCGCGUUGACGGAGCGAAGCGACGUCAAACCGAUAAAA